AUUGAACGCUGGCGGCAAGCUUAACACAUGCAAGUCGAGCGGAGAUGAGGUGCUUGCACCUUAUCUUAGCGGCGGACGGGUGAGUAAUGCUUAGGAAUCUGCCUAUUAGUGGGGAACAACAUUCCGAAAGGAAUGCUAAUACCGCAUACGUCCUACGGGAGAAAGCAGGGGAUCUUCGGACCUUGCGCUAAUAGAUGAGCCUAAGUCGGAUUAGCUAGUUGGUGGGGUAAAGGCCUACCAAGGCGACGAUCUGUAGCGGGUCUGAGAGGAUGAUCCGCCACACUGGGACUGAGACACGGCCCAGACUCCUACGGGAGGCAGCAGUGGGGAAUAUUGGACAAUGGGGGAAACCCUGAUCCAGCCAUGCCGCGUGUGUGAAGAAGGCCUUAUGGUUGUAAAGCACUUUAAGCGAGGAGGAGGCUACUGAGACUAAUACUCUUGGAUAGUGGACGUUACUCGCAGAAUGAGCACCGGCUAACUCUGUGCCAGCCGCCGCAGUAA
rnacentral:rRNA from 1 species